CUAUAUUAUAUAGACAUAUAUACACAGAGUGUAAGGAUGUUUAGAUACGUCCACAUAUUUGAGUUCAUGGUCCGAUUAUUGCCAUGACCAAAUAAGGAAUUUAGGUGUGGUGUUUGACCCACAGCUGAAAUUUGACAAGCAGACUAAUGCUGUAGUAAAGAGUUGUUUUUUUCCAGAUUAUUUUAUCCUAUACAGGAUAAAAUAUAAAACUCAAGUGUAUGUUUUUAAAGCAGUGCAUGGGUUGGCCCCUGCUUAUGUGUCUGAGCUCAUUGUUGUUCGUCAAGCACCUAGGUCUUUAAGAUCCAAUAAUAAGUUAUUGCUUACUGUCCCUCAUACUCAUUUAAAGUUAAAAGGGGAUCAGGUCUUUGCUGUUGCGGGUCCGAGGCUCUGGAAUAGUCUUCCACAGGAACUUAGAGAGGUCACAUCUUUAAAUGCUUUUAAAAUUGAAGUCAAAAACUACUUGUCUUUAGCCUUUAAGAGGGUGGGCUAGUCUUUGUUGUUUAAUAGGAUGUGUCUUGUUUUAAGUUGUGUGUUUUAAUGAAGUGUUUUCUGAUUGUACAGCACUUUGGUCUGAGUUGUAAAGUGCUCUAUAUAUAAAGUAAAUGAAAUGAAUGAAUGAAAAUGAUUGGGAGAGAAGGUCGGAGGGGACGAUGUCUGAGGCUGACAAGGACGCCGGCUCUCUUCCCCCAUUUCCGGCAGUGUUUCCUUGGUCGCAAACAUGCGGUCCAGACAAAGGGCUCUGAUGCGGUGUGUCAAAGCACCGGCGUUCAAGAACUCAAAGUGCGGUUUGCGUUUCGCGACAUAGGAACCUAUGUUUAAAAGCGUGUGUCUGUCGUAGACAGUUAUACAAACAACAUCCAACACGUAGGACAACAAAAUAACAAGUAAAAAGAAUGAAAAACUGCAAAGUUUACUCGAAGCUCGCAACACGGCCACCAUGCUCGGCGCCAUCUUGGUUCACCAUCAAUGAACCAAGUACAUUGUUUAUAAUACAUUAUGUUAAGUUUUGUUCAAAAGAACCAUAUUGUACUUUCUUUUGAUACUUUAUUUGAACCAAUAAUUAUGGCCUUUUUGCUAUUAUAUAUAUAUUUUAGGUCAUUUUAAAGGCUAUUGCUUGAUUAGGCCUAUUUUUCCUACCAUGAAUAUAAAUUAUAAUUAUCUGAUUAAUCAACAGAAUAAUCCACAGAUAACUCUGUUACCCAAUUAAUAAUUCACGAGCAAAGACCACACCACAACCAAAUAUGUAAAUGAAUAGUUUAUUGUUCAGAAUAUUAGGGAUGAGUUGGAAGAGGAUGAAAAGGUAAAGGGGAUAGGAUGAUGGUCAGGUUGAUCUGGGUGCCUUGAAUUGAUGGCCCGGAGAGACUCAGGAUGGGGAUAUCAUCUCAGUUGUAUAUGUAGGCCAGAUGAUUAGGACCCCCCUAAGUUGGGAAGAGCUGAGGUAAGCUUGGGCUUGAUGGAGAACGUCUACACAGCAAAAUAUCCAGUGUUGUUUAGUGUUGUUUUUAUGGUGUUAAUUUAUCAGAGUUAAAAAGUGUUGAUUCUGGUGUUGAUUUGAAUGGCAUUAACACUUGCAGUGUAAAUCAGUGGUCAGAGUCAGUGUAAUUACAGCGAGUUGACAUAACUGACACUGGUGACGAGUUGAUCCAAUUUCCGGUCCUUGCACACUAUUUCCUUUUUGAUUAAUGGCGGACGACCACGAGGAGAGGACAGUGUUCAAACAGGUAUAAUAUUUUAUAACCAUUUAAACUGACCAAUUUUCAUGUUUAGUUUAUGUUUCUCACCAUUUAGAAUAAUAUUAGUACGUUUCUCAACAUUGCCAGAGUGCUAACAUUAUUUAUUUUCAGAUAACGCUACAGACCACCGACAGGAUCUCGAGGCCAUUUAGCUGCACCACUUGUUAGCUAGCAAAUUGAGAUUGAAGGAGGAUCCCCACCCGCAAUUAUUUCUCUUUGUCCUAUCCUGAGAGACCCAUUUUCAACAAAGGGCUAUAUACAUCAGGACUUUGGUCUCCUGUUCAAUGCUGAAACAUCCAACAAGCUUCUUGAGAGGUGGGAGACUGCAUUCAAACAAAACAUCUUCAAUGAAGCCCAGUCUCUUACUUCAACAGCAGAAAUUCGGUGUCUUUUCAAUGCAGCAGGUGGACAAGGAUCUGAAAAUGAUUGGGACAGUGAUGUCAUCUGUCCAGCUGCAGUUGCAUCUCCUGCUCCAGGGAGGAAGAAGACCAAGAUCAGUCCAACAGAGGCUGUUGACAGACUUGUGCAUUUCCAUAAGUCCUGCACCAGUAUUGAAGGCCAUCUCAGUGGGAGGGAGGGCCACCAGUCAUUCCUGCUGGGAUCAGAAAGGAUCGAGGGCAGGAUCGACCACUUGCGUCGUUGUGGACAAGCGCCUCAUCCAUUUGCGUUGGAA